CCAGACUCCUACGGGAGGCAGCAGUGAGGAAUAUUGGUCAAUGGGCGGGAGCCUGAACCAGCCAAGCCGCGUGAGGGAAGAAGGUACAGCGUAUCGUAAACCUCUUUUGUCAGGGAACAAAGGCGGGGACUAGUCCCCGGAUGAGGGUACCUGAAGAAAAAGCAUCGGCUAACUCCGUGCCAGCAGCCGCGGUAAUACGGGGGAUGCAAGCGUUGUCCGGAAUCAUUGGGCGUAAAGAGUUCGUAGGUGGCACGUUAAGUCUGGUGUUAAAUGCAGAGGCUCAACCUCUGUUCGGCACUGGAUACUGGCGAGCUUGAAUGCGGUAGAGGUAAAGGGAAUUCCUGGUGUAGCGGUGAAAUGCGUAGAUAUCAGGAGGAACACCGGUGGCGAAGGCGGCCUGCUGGGCUGCAACUGACGUUGAGGCCCGAAAGCGUGGGGAGCAAACAGGAUUAGAUACCCUGGUAC
rnacentral:rRNA from 1 species